ensembl:lncRNA
CUUUUGAACUCCGCCGCUCGCUGUCUGGCUCUCCCCUCUCGGCCCGGUGCACCUCUCUCCACCCUCCCCCUCGCACCCUCCUGGCCGGCGCGCUUGCCAGCGCGCUCGCUCGCUCGCUCUCCCGCGACCCGACGAGUCCUCAACAAGUUGGAGGAAGGCAGGAACGCAGGGGUUAAGCUCGGAGAGCCGCAAUUACCAAGAUCGUGACCCUCCCACACAGUACAGUAACUUAUAUACUUACCUGGAAGAGCCCGCUCUACCGCUGGGCCAACACCCGUUGGGGGCGGGGAAGGGCGGGAGGGGAGCGGGCCGGUUGGAGAGGGGCUCCUCCAACGCUGGCUGCAGUGCGGACCGGACCGGCGCGCUCCAGGGACCUGGGGACCCAGGUAGUCAAACCUGCCCUGACACCUGGACGUCUGCAUGAGGGGUGGUCACUGAAGGAGGAGUUGUCAGAGGCCAUAGGAGCUAAAGAGUCUGUGCA